UCAUUUGCAAAGAUAGACUACAGCCUGGCUGUAUGUUACAUUUAAGUAAAUAUAAUAAUAAUAAUAAUAAUAAUAAUAAUAAUAAUAAUAAUAAUAAUAAAAAAAUGAAACAUUGGUAGAGGGGAAAAACAGCCUUUAGAGGGAAGUUCAUAAUACUACAAAUAUAUACUAGAAAAGAAAAUAUCCACAAAAGAAAAAAAAAUGACCAAAGGAGCUAUAGAAAGUUAUAUGUAAGAAAUAUAUAUUAGGAUAUAUAAUCAAUGGCACUGAAAGGAAUAAAAUACAGAAAACCAAUGAAUUCAAAGAUUGUUCUUGGAGACCAAUAAAAACAUACAUCUCUAGCCAAGUGUAGUUUUGACUUUUCUUGUUGCUUUAACAAAAUACCAACCAACAGUGAUGUAAGGAAGAGUGAGUUUGGGCUCAGUUUGGAGACAGAGCCCACCAUGGCUCAGGCACGUGAGGGAGCUGGUCACAUGGUCUGCAGUCUGAAGCAUUGAGAUGUAUACUGGUAUCCUACUCAGUUUCUCCUUUGUGUCACUACCGUGGACCAAUGCCAUCUAUGUUCAACCUAAACUUCUCUGAAAAUGUCCCUACGAUACAUCCAAAUAUGUGCCCUUGGUAUUUCUAAAUCAGUACAAGUUGUUAGCAUUAACUAUCAUACCAGCUUAACCAAGAAAGGAGAAAGAACAAAGAUGGGUGACCACUGUAGAUCUAUGGGACAAGAGGAUAAGAGAAGUUGUUAGCAACUAGAUGGUCAUGGCCUUCGUGACUAAGAUGAAUCAGGUAAAUUCUUGAGUGAAAUAAACUAGUAAACUUAUCCCAGGCAGAAACAGAAAGGCUGAGAGUCUCAUAGCUACUGCAGAAACUAAAUCUGUCAUAAUAAUACAGCACAAGGACCAUAUAAUUUUACUGAUAAGGCAACCAAAUGCUUAGGGAAAAAUAAUAUGAAUUAUCCAUAACCUUUUCUAAGAAAGAGAAACAGAAUUCUUGUCAACUCAUCCUAUGAAUUCAGAAUUACUCUGAUAGUAAAGCCGGAUAAAUAUUUAUAUACAAGAAAGGAAAACUGCAUCCCAAAGCCAAUAAGAAAUUAUACACUAAGGAAAUACUUUUUUUAGAUAGACAUCACAUUCAAAUAAAAGCUCAAUGACUUUACUUCAUCCACAGGAGGACAACAAUAGAAAUAUCAUAUAAUGCUAAUUAAUGGAGAAACAUUCUCCAGGAUCAAGAUCAUGUUAUAAAACUCUCAAAAAAUAAAAGAGCAAUAGAGAAAACAGC
rnacentral:lncRNA from 1 species